GUUUUUCGCUCUAAGAUAAGCCCGCGCAAGAUUAGCUAGUUGGUGAGGUAAUGGCUCACCAAGGCAACGAUCUUUAGCUGGUCUGAGAGGAUGAUCAGCCACACUGGAACUGAGACACGGUCCAGACUCCUACGGGAGGCAGCAGUAGGGAAUAUUGCACAAUGGAGGAAACUCUGAUGCAGCGACGCCGCGUGAGUGAUGAAGGACUUCGGUUCGUAAAGCUCUGUCGUAUGGGAAUAAGAAAGUG
rnacentral:rRNA from 1 species